GCAAGGAAGAGCCUGGCAUGGCAGUGUGUGUCUUCAAUCCCAGCAUGGAGGAGACAAAGGCAGGAGGAGCUCUCUGACUUUGAGGCCCAGCCUGGGCAACAAAGCCAGUUCCGGGACAGCCAGGGCUACACGGAGAAACCCUGUCUCGAAAAAGGAAAACCCCAAACCAGGAAGUACUUUCGGCAGUGCUUCCUCCUCGUUUCUUUCCUCUUAAAAAAAAUAUGGAUGCUCUUUUAAAACAAAGCGGACCAUGUACCAAGAUCAAACGAUGGUAGGUGGAGGGAGGAAAGACUAGGGAGAAGACCGGGCAUCUGGUGUUCCGGCUUUCAGCUGUUCCGGCUUCCCUCUGAACUGUUGCGAGACACGGAGUAGGAGAGUAAACC
rnacentral:lncRNA from 1 species